AUGGAGCAGAACACGGCGACGAAACCCAUCAGGUGCAAAGCGGCGGUGAGCAAGGUGGCCGGGCAGCCGCUGGAGAUGGAGGAGGUGGAGGUGGCGCCGCCGCGGGCGCACGAGGUCCGCAUCAGGAUACUCUGCACCUCGCUCUGCCACACCGACCUCACCUUCUGGCGCUUGAAGGAUUUCCCGGGCCAGCAUCCGAUAAUCCUGCGCCAUGAAGCAGCCGGCGUGGGGGAGCACGUGCACGAGGUGGCCGUCGGGGACACGGUGGUGCCGGUGUUCUCGGCGCAGUGCGGCGACUGCCCCGACUGGCGACUGCCUCUCCGGCCGCAGCUCCCCGCCCGGCCCGGCAUGCCGCGCGACGGCACGGCCCGCUUCUCGUUCGCCGCCACCGGCGAGCCCAUCCACAACUUCACCGGCGUGUCCAGCUUCACCGAGUACACGGUCGUCGAUGUCGCGCACGUCGUCAGGCUUAAGCCUGGCGUCCCGCCGGAGAAGGCCUGCCUGCUCAGCUGCGGCGUCUCCACCGGUGUUGGCGCGGCGUGGAAGGUGGCGGCGGUGGAGCCCGGGUCCAGCGUCGCCGUGUUCGGGCUCGGCGUCGUCGGGUUAGCGGUAGCACAAGGGUGCAGGAUGCGUGGGGCUAAGCAGAUUGUUGGAGUGGAUCUGAACCCGGAGAAGGGGAGAAUAUCAGGUAAGAGGCUGGGAAUCACCGACUUCAUCAAUCCGAACGACACCGGGGAGAAGGCCGUGAGCGAGGUCGUCAAGGAGAUGACCGGCGGCGGCGCCGACUACUGCUUCGAGUGCAUCGGCUCGACGUCGGUCAUGGCGGAGGCGUUCCAAAGCUCCCGGAAGGGCUGGGGGAAGACGAUCGCGCUCGGCGUCUCCAGCGGCGUUGCGCCGAUCAGCAUACCCCCGGAAGACAUCCUCAUGGGGAGGUCGCUCGUCGGCUCGCUCUUCGGCGGGCUCAAGCCCACGGCCGACAUCCCGAUCCUGGCGCAGAAGUACGUGGACAAGGAGCUGGAGCUGGACGAGUUCGUGACGCACGAGAUGCGGUUCGACGACAUCAACAGAGCGUUCGAGCUCCUCACGCAGUGCUUCAUCUGGAUGGGCGGGGACAGGGAGAACGGCGUCGGCGUGGAGGCCCUCGAUAAUGCGUGA
rnacentral:rRNA from 1 species